GGGGGGGGGGGGGGGGGGGCGGGGGGGGGGGGGGGCGGGCGGGGGGGCCCUGCGUGUGUGGGGUGCUCGAGUGGCGGACGGGUGAGUAACACGUGAGUAACCUGCCCUUGACUUUGGGAUAACUUCAGGAAACUGGGGCUAAUACCGGAUAGGAGCUCCUGCUGCAUGGUGGGGGUUGGAAAGUUUCGGCGGUUGGGGAUGGACUCGCGGCUUAUCAGCUUGUUGGUGGGGUAGUGGCUUACCAAGGCUUUGACGGGUAGCCGGCCUGAGAGGGUGACCGGCCACAUUGGGACUGAGAUACGGCCCAGACUCCUACGGGAGGCAGCAGUGGGGAAUAUUGCACAAUGGGCGGAAGCCUGAUGCAGCAACGCCGCGUGCGGGAUGACGGCCUUCGGGUUGUAAACCGCUUUCGCCUGUGACGAAGCGUGAGUGACGGUAAUGGGUAAAGAAGCACCGGCUAACUACGUG
rnacentral:rRNA from 1 species